CCAAGAAGCAUUGCUGGAGGAAAGCAUCAAGGCAUAUAUAGGAGGAAUCUGCACUGACAUUGCCAUGGUGGUCACCAAAACGGAUAUUCUGGAACUUGAUGAAUAUAGGAGGAAUAGAACAAAUAAUAAUACUCCCAUCGAGAAUAAACACGAUGCCAUUUUAGAGAGGAACCAAGAUGUGAAGAAGAAGAAGGAGAGAAGUAUUAGGGAGAAGCUG